AGCCUCGCCGGCGGGGUCGGGGUGAGGCGGCCGCGGUUCCUAUGCCUGCAUAGCUUCCGGACCAACGACGAGAUCCUGAAGUAGGUACUGACAAAGUGGCCAGCCGAGGUCACGACGCGCCUUGACCUCGUCUUGAUUGACGUGCCCUUCCCCGCUGAGGGCAAGUCCAAUAUCGACGGCAUCUUUGACCCAACCUACUACGACUGGUUCUAG
rnacentral:rRNA from 1 species